UGCAGACCACACAGUUCAAAAGAGAAGCCAAACAUCUAGAAAAGAGGAUUUCGCCAAGAGAAGAUUCAAUCAGCGUCUAUUUUAUUUGCACGAGAUAAACCUCCCCAUGGAAUUCCACAGAAGAGUCUGAAAGAGCCAUCUCUGGGAACACAAGGCUGGCAGUGGCCCCUCAGCAGUGAGCUGACCUCUUGCUUCCUUCUGGAAUGACAGCUGUGUUUCCCUGUCCCCCAUCUUAGAUUUGCUGAGUGUGCAAAGCCCUUUAUAUCAUCAUCCGUGCUCUUGACAGUGAGUAGCACAAUCCUAACCAGCCCCCCCCUCCCCGUGAGAACACGGGCAUCCAGAUUCCCAGCCCUCUCCCUGCAUGUUGGGUCUCAUUUCCAGAGACAUCCCCUGUAGCUGAGCCCUCAGCCCUCGCCCUUCACGUCAGAAGUCAGCACACGGCAAACACAAAAGGCGCCAGGUCUUGCUAGGAAGCCGCACAGCGGGUAGAACUCAGUGCAGCCAGGGCACCGCCUCUCAGUGAUGAUGCCUAGGAGCCCCCACUCCGCUGGGAACACCCUUCUUUGCCUCCGAGCUUUCCUUGGCCCUGGUGGCCAGGGACACUCACUGAGCUCCUAAGCGGCAGGGCUGGUUAAGCAAGCGAGGUGUGUGUGAGGGUUAGGUUCUGAGCUCUGAGCUAUCGCUGCACACUGUGUUUUUGUUUUUAAAUCACGCAGAGCCAUGACAAAUGACAGCAUAAGGGGUUUAAGCAGCUGGUGCGCUGAAGAGGAAACAGGUUAAAAUUUAACAGGCACCAGAUAAACGGUGUUUAAAAAACAAGCCCUCCCUUUGCGUUUAUUAACUGGACAAAAAUGAGCCAUCCAACAAACAGACGUGAGCUCGGAGGCCCAGACCCAUCCACUCCCCACACGCUGCCCACUCUGUAACCGGCAGCAACGUGUCUGGAAAGCAGAAGAGGAACGUGUCACCCGCCGGUAGGUGUCUGCUAAUUAGUUCAACUGUCAACUUGACACAAGUUGGGUGGGAAGAGUCUCACUGAAGGACUGUCUAGGUCAGCGUGGCCUGUGGCCAUGUCUAGGAGAGGAGCAGGGUCUUGGCCGCCUUAAUAGAUGUGGGAAGGAAGACCCAGCCCGAGCCUGGCUGACGUCGUCCCCUGGACUGUGUGAGAGUACGGCGAGCAACAAGCAAGCGUGCAUCCGUUCUCUGUCUCUGCUCCGACUGGAUGGGACCAGCUGUGCUAACUUCCUGUGCGGUGUCCUCUCUGCUGUGAGGGGCUGGAACCUGGCACCGGGAGCUAAAGCAAGCCCUUUCUUCGAUAAGCUGCUUAAUGUCAGGGUGUUUUGCCACUGCAACAGACAUGAGGCUAGAGCAGCGAAAAUGCAAGCCGCGCAGAAGUCCAGCAGUGUAGCCGGUGCUGCAGCUGUUGGGCACAGCAUCAGACGGCAGUUCCAGAGAGCCCUGUGCGUCCAGGAGGAGCGAACCUUCUCCAUGAGUCACUGAGGCAGAUUCUCUCACCGAAACCGGAACUCACCUUGCAUCUAGUCUGGAGGACCAGCAUGCUCUGGGGAUUCCGGCUUCACCUCUUGAGCACUAGGAACCAUCCUGCCCACCGGCUCUGCCCAUGUGGCUUUGCAUGGGUUCUGAGGGUCCAGAGUGAUCCUCAUGAUUGCACGACAAGCACUUAUUCCAUUGAGCUACCCCCUCCCCACUAUUUUUAGCAAAGAUGGUAAUUCCUGCUUCCUAUAAGAUAAUAUGAAUUUAUGUAAGGUGCACCAAUAUGUUGAAUUCUCUCUGGCUGUAGGACUGGAGUGAAUGUUACCUUUCCCUUGAUGCUCUGCUGUCAUUUCUAAAUGACCACAAUCUAUAUCAUACUUACUAUGGGAGAAUGUAAUAAAUAUUACUUAAAAUGUUA